UACGUAGGGGGCUAGCGUUGUCCGGAAUCAUUGGGCGUAAAGCGCGUGUAGGCGGUCCGGUAAGUCCGCUGUGAAAGUCGGGGGCUCAACCCUCGAAUGCCGGUGGAUACUGUCGGGCUAGAGUGCGGAAGAGGCGAGUGGAAUUCCUGGUGUAGCGGUGAAAUGCGCAGAUAUCAGGAGGAACACCAAUUGCGAAGGCAGCUCACUGGCCCGAUACUGACGCUGAGGAGCGAAAGCCAGGGGAGCAAACGGG
rnacentral:rRNA from 1 species